CCAUGUGUUAAAAUCCUAUUGGCAAUUUUACCUGGUUGCUGUUAAAAUAAUCGUGAAAAAUAAUUCUAGAGUUUAUAAUCAAUCCAACAUUAUUCCUAAGCUUUAAGUGGAAGUCAAGUCCGUAUGUAAACAAACGGUUUGUUUACAUUUUGAACUGCUGUAUUUUUUAAAAAUAUGAUGUACUGUCUGAAUAUCUAACACUAUUUUGGUUCGCUAUGCUUCUAAAUGAAUAUGAAAUAGAGUUUAUGUUCUGAAAAAUUCGA
rnacentral:lncRNA from 1 species